UACAGAGGUGGCAAGCGUUGCUCGGAAUCACUGGGCGUAAAGGGCGUGUAGGCGGGAAUGUAAGUCGGGCGUGAAAGCCCCAGGCUCAACCUGGGAACUGCACUCGAAACUGCGUUUCUUGAGUAUCGGAGAGGAAAGCGGAAUACCUGGUGUAGAGGUGAAAUUCGUAGAUAUCAGGUGGAACACCAGUGGCGAAGGCGGCUUUCUGGACGAUUACUGACGCUGAGACGCGAAAGCGUGGGGAGCAAACAGG
rnacentral:rRNA from 1 species